rnacentral:rRNA from 14 species
ACAUACAAUGACUCUCGGCAACGGAUAUCUCGGCUCUUGCAUCGAUGAAGAACGUAGCGAAAUGCGAUACUUGGUGUGAAUUGCAGAAUCCCGUGAACCAUCGAGUCUUUGAACGCAAGUUGCGCCCGAAGCCAUUAGGCCGAGGGCACGCCUGCCUGGGUGUCACAC